UUCUCUGGUUUUUAGAGCCUUGAGCAGUUCUGUUGGUUGAUUGUCCUCUUACUUUGUUUGUUUCGGUUCUCUUUGGGAAGUGUUCUUGCUUCUUGCUAGUCCAAUUGUACAAGGUCCAGUGUAAUUUUUUUUAAGGAGAAGCACAUUUGGCUGUUGUUUUUUUAGGCUAAGCCAACUUGUUUUUUUGAGAAGUCAAGAUACAUUUGCUGUGUCUUUUAGUUUUGGUGUUGAGUUUUGUUAUCUUGUCAUUGAUUGCUUGAUCUUCUCUUGGACGGUUGGACCAGCGUGUGCUUUGUUUUAUCUCCUGUUGUUUUGCUGCAGGCUCAAGCUUGCCAUGUGUACUUUUUAUUUUAUUUUUUUUAAUUGAUAUGUAUUUUUUUUAAUCUCUCUCCUCAUCUCUUCCUUUGCAGACAGUACUUAAAUCUAAAUCUAUUUUUCCAUCAAAAAUUGC
rnacentral:misc_RNA from 1 species